rnacentral:rRNA from 1 species
UACGUAGGUGACAAGCGUUGUCCGGAUUUACUGGGCGUAAAGAGCGCGCAGGCGGUCGUUCAAGUCGAGUGUGAAAGCCCCCGGCUCAACUGGGGAGGGUCAUUCGAUACUGAUCGACUCGAAGGCAGGAGAGGGUAGUGGAAUUCCCGGUGUAGUGGUGAAAUGCGUAGAUAUCGGGAGGAACACCAGUGGGGAAGGCGGCAUCCUGGACCGGCAUUGACGCUGAGGAGCGAAAGCCAGGGGAGCAAACGGG